rnacentral:ncRNA from 1 species
GUUUUUGAAUACUGUCAUCUUUUAAACCUUUACCUGUCAAAUGAAUCACUUGGUAAUUCUCUAGCAAUGUAUCUAAUUCUUGGCGAAGACUAUCAUUGAUUUUGGCGCUACCGAGGCUGCCUCCCAUGACGAGUAGUGUUUUCUUAGUUGGUUGGAAACCUGUCAAUGCGUAUCC